GGGCGUAAGGGCUCGCAGGCGGUUUCUUAAGUCUGAUGUGAAAGCCCCCGGCUCAACCGGGGAGGGUCAUUGGAAACUGGGAAACUUGAGUGCAGAAGAGGAGAGUGGAAUUCCACGUGUAGCGGUGAAAUGCGUAGAGAUGUGGAGGAACACCAGUGGCGAAGGCGACUCUCUGGUCUGUAACUGACGCUGAGGAGCGAAAGCGUGGGGAGCGAACAGGAUUAGAUACCCUGGUAGUCCACGCCGUAAACGAUGAGUGCUAAGUGUUAGGGGGUUUCCGCCCCUUAGUGCUGCAGCUAACGCAUUAAGCACUCCGCCUGGGGAGUACGGUCGCAAGACUGAAACUCAAAGGAAUUGACGGGGGCCCGCACAAGCGGUGGAGCAUGUGGUUUAAUUCGAAGCAACGCGAAGAACCUUACCAGGUCUUGACAUCCUCUGACAACCCUAGAGAUAGGGCUUUCCCUUCGGGGACAGAGUGACAGGUGGUGCAUGGUUGUCGUCAGCUCGUGUCGUGAGAUGUUGGGUUAAGUCCCGCAACGAGCGCAACCCUUGAUCUUAGUUGCCAGCAUUUAGUUGGGCACUCUUAGGUGACUGCCGGUGACAAACCGGAGGAAGGUGGGGAUGACCUCAAAUCAUCAUGCCCCUUAUGACCUGGGCUACACACGUGCU
rnacentral:rRNA from 1 species